CGGGGAUGUCCGGGAAUGUGGGAACGUUCGGAACGGACGCUAAUACCGCAUACGUCCUACGGGAGAAAGCAGGGGACCUUCGGGCCUUGCGCUAUCAGAUGAGCCUAGGUCGGAUUAGCUAGCUGGUGAGGUAAUGGCUCACCAAGGCUACGAUCCGUAACUGGUCUGAGAGGAUGAUCAGUCACACUGGAACUGAGACACGGUCCAGACUCCUACGGGAGGCAGCAGUGGGGAAUAUUGGACAAUGGGCGAAAGCCUGAUCCAGCCAUGCCGCGUGUGUGAAGAAGGUCUUCGGAUUGUAAAGCACUUUAAGUUGGGAGGAAGGGCAUUAACCUAAUACGUUAGUGUUUUGACGUUACCGACAGAAUAAGCACCGGCUAACUCUGUGCCAGCAGCCGCGGUAAUACAGAGGGUGCAAGCGUUAAUCGGAAUUACUGGGCGUAAAGCGCGCGUAGGUGGUUUGUUAAGUUGAAUGUGAAAUCCCCGGGCUCAACCUGGGAACUGCAUCCAAAACUGGCAAGCUAGAGUAUGGUAGAGGGUAGUGGAAUUUCCUGUGUAGCGGUGAAAUGCGUAGAUAUAGGAAGGAACACCAGUGGCGAAGGCGACUACCUGGACUGAUACUGACACUGAGGUGCGAAAGCGUGGGGAGCAAACAGGAUUAGAUACCCUGGGUAGUCCACGCCGUAAACGAUGUCAACUAGCCGUUGGGGGUCUUGAACUCUUAGUGGCGCAGCUAACGCAUUAAGUUGACCGCCUGGGGAGUACGGCCGCAAGGUUAAAACUCAAAUGAAUUGACGGGGGCCCGCACAAGCGGUGGAGCAUGUGGUUUAAUUUCGAAGCACGCGAAGAAUCCUUUACCAGGGCCUUGACAUCCAAUGAACCUUUCUAGAGAAUAGAAUGGUGCCCUUCGGAACCAUUUGGAGAACAGGUGGCUGCAUUGCCUUGUCGUCAGCCUCCGUGUCCGUGGAGAAUGUUGGGAUAAGUCCGUACCGAGACGCCAAACCCUUUGUCCUUUAGUUAACAGCACGGUAAUUGGUGGCACUCUCUAAGAGAACCUGCUGUGACACAAACCGGAAGAGGUGGGGGA
rnacentral:rRNA from 1 species